UACGUAGGGGCCUAGCGUUGUCCGGAUUUAUUGGGCGUAAAGAGCUCGUAGGCGGUUCGGUAAGUCAGGUGUGAAAUCUCCACGCUCAACGUGGAGGCGCCACCUGAAACUGCCGUGACUCGAGUCCGGUAGGGGAGUGUGGAAUUCCCGGUGUAGCGGUGAAAUGCGCAGAUAUCAGGAAGAACACCCGUGGCGAAGGCGGUUCUCUGGGACGGUACUGACGCUGAGACGCGAAGCGUGGGGAGCGAACAGG
rnacentral:rRNA from 1 species